UCCGGCUUAUCACCGGCAGUUUCCUUAAAGUGCCCAACUAAAUGAUGGCAACUAAGGACGAGGGUUGCGCUCGUUGCGGGACUUAACCCAACAUCUCACGACACGAGCUGACGACAGCCAUGCAGCACCUGUCACUAGGUCCCCGAAGGGAGGAAAUCUGUCUCCAGAAGUCGUCCUAGGAUGUCAAAGGCUGGUAAGGUUCUGCGCGUUGCUUCGAAUUAAACCACAUGCACCACCGCUUGUGCGGGCCCCCGUCAAUUCCUUUGAGUUUCAGCCUUGCGGCCGUACUCCCCAGGCGGGGCACUUAAUGCGUUAGCGCCGGCACCCAGGGGGUCGCUCCCCCAGGCACCUAGUGCCCAUCGUUUACGGCGUGGACUAC
rnacentral:misc_RNA from 1 species